GGGCCUUUAGCUCAGCUGGCUAGAGCACCUGCUUUGCAAGCAGGGGGUCCAGGGUUCGAAUCCCUGAAGGUCCA
rnacentral:tRNA from 1 species